CCUUCGACGACGAGUUACAAGAGUGUGGUAUGUGUCAUAAUCUGGUGAAGCUUUCUGCAUGUGAUGUGCCUUGUGUGGAUCCGUGGCCAUUGCAUUGUGUCUGGUGUGUAGGUACCCAGACACUUAAGCAAACUCGAUCGUUGUACACUGUGAUGGGCGAGCAUCACUGUGUCUCCGUGCCGUGUAAGAGCUCCCCUGGCCAUCAGGCACUUGAAAGGUCCUUCGACGACGAGUUACAAUAGUGGUGUGUUAGAUACGUCAGGUGAUGGUAUCUACUGUUGUGCAAUACGUAUCCGGCCACGGCACGGAACGAACGGGAACUGUGGUGCAGACAUACAAAGAGUUAAGCCUAUUAGUCAUUAACUCUAAGGACGGGGCCAUGGGGCGGUACGCAAAGGAUACGGAUGAGCGAGUAUGCAGGCCCAAUACUCAAUAGCUCGAUCCGAUCCAAGCACAUGAGUUGACUGCGGCGUCAGGUUAACCAAUGUGCAAUACGUAUCCGGCUACGGCACGGAACGAACAGGAACUGUGGUGCAGACAUACAAGGGCCAUGGGGCGGUACGCAAAGGAUACGGAUGAGCGAGUAUGCAGGCCCAAUACUCAAUAGCUCGAUCCGAUCCAAGCACAUGAGUUGACUGCGGCGUCAGGUUAACCAAUGUGCUAGAUUCUAUUUGGCCAGUAGAAUCUUGUGUCUUACGCGAUUUGAUACCAAGACACCAGAACGAAAGUUAGUUGAAGAGUGAUUAAACUCUUAUGAAGAAUGGUUGUGCAAUCACAACUUAUGACUUUAACCUAUAAAGUGGAUAUGGACUAUCAAUUAUAACAUGGGGCACACACCAUGUUCUCGAUCCAAUCCACGCACACGAGUUGCCUGAGUAGCGACAGGUAUACCGAUGUGCAAUACGUAUCCGGCCACGGCACGGAACGAACGGGAACUGUGGUGCAGACAUACAAGGGCCAUGGGGCGGUACGCAAAGGAUACGGAUGAGCGAGUAUGCAGGCCCAAUACUCAAUAGCUCGAUCCGAUCCAAGCACAUGAGUUGACUGCGGCGUCAGGUUAACCAAUGUGCUAGAUUCUAUUUGGCCAGUAGAAUCUUGUGUCUUAUGCGAUUUGAUACCAAGACACCAGAACGAAAGUUAGUUG